rnacentral:sRNA from 1 species
UGAAAGAUUCAGACCUCCCAUAGCCCGAGUGAUUGAUGUAUCUAAUGGGAAAGUUCAUGUUGCUGAAAGCUGUUUGGAAGAAACAGGUGGCCUGGGAGUAGAUAUUGUCCUAGAUGCUGGAGUUGGAUCCUCCAGAUAGCCACUGCCUUUUCCUCAAGGGAGCAACGUUAGCUUUCCUGAAUGAUGAAGUUUGGAAUUUGUCAAAUGUACAACAGGGAAAAUAUCUUUAGUGUUCCAAGUGCCUUGCAAGUAUUAAUUUAAACAUUAAAACAACCUUUUGAGAUGUAAGUACUGUUAUCAUCCCCAUUUCACAGGUGAAGAAUCAAGAACAGAGAUGUUGAUACAGACUCAAGGACGCAGCAAGUGACAGAGCAAGAAUCACACUCAGGCAGUCUUUCUCCUUUCUGAAUGGAGAUGAGCCAUAAGAUACGUGGAAGAUUUUGUUUUUAACCUGACAUUAAGGAAAGUACACAUCACCUUGAAAGGUUGAACACUUACUCCUAU